ACCACUGCGCUCCACACCCACGCGUCCCUCUCUCUCUCUUUCCUCCCGGGGUAGGGAGAUGGGGACGGCGAUGCCAGCAGGCAGCCGUAGGGCUGGGAGCCAGGCUCGCUGCCUCCCCUCCACAGUUGGGUGUAGGUAGGAUUUACAUGAUUGCUCCUCACCGCUUCCCCUUUAACGGGCAGCUAAUUUUUCGACUUACAAAUCUGCAUUAAAAUACGUAUUUAGUACAUGAGAGAUCAGAUCCAGUGUUUAAAGAACGAAGCAUCACCCUCUCUUCAGGCCACUGGGUUCUAAUGUCAUCUGACUAUUGAAUACAUGAUGAGAGAACAGAAUUUAUAGAUUUUAAUCCUUAUGAAUGCUGAAGCAUGAUUAUUAUUCCUGCUACAAUCAAUAGGGUCUUCCACAGGAAGAUUGUACAUGAGAGGUAAAUCAGGAACUGAGUCCAGGAAAAGCAGACAUGUUGCUAAACCAGUGUAAGCGCCGUGGUUAGAUGUAUCUCACAAAGCUCCCUGAAAAGUAGCUUUUCUGCUGUCCCUGGCUCCCUCAAUUCUGACUAAUCUACUUUCCUAGAACCACUCUUGUGGAUUAAAAAAAAAAAAAAAAAAAAAAAAGGGUGAU